AGUGGCGGACGGGUGAGUAACGCGUGGGUAACCUGCCUCAUACAGGGGGAUAACAGUUAGAAAUGACUGCUAAUACCGCAUAAGCGCACAGUACCGCAUGGUACGGUGUGAAAAACUCCGGUGGUAUGAGAUGGACCCGCGUCUGAUUAGGUAGUUGGUGGGGUAACGGCCUACCAAGCCGACGAUCAGUAGCCGACCUGAGAGGGUGACCGGCCACAUUGGGACUGAGACACGGCCCAA
rnacentral:rRNA from 1 species